rnacentral:misc_RNA from 1 species
GUGAGUCAUCGAAUCUUUGAACGCACAUUGCGCCCCCUGGUAUUCCGGGGGGCAUGCCUGUCCGAGCGUCAUUGCAACCCUCAAGCACGGCUUGUGUGAUGGGUCCCUCGUCCCCCUGUGGACGGGCCCGAAAUGCAGUGGCGGCGUCCCGAUGCAGGUGCCUGAGCGAAUGGGAUUCAACUAUCCGCUCAAGAGGCCCGGUCGGCGCCCGUCGAAACCCAUAUUUUUCACCGGUUGACCUCGGAUCAGGUAGGAAUACCCGCUGAACUUAAGCAUAUCAAUAAGCGGAGGA